CCCACUUCCGCUUCAUCCUCCGAUCAACAGGGAUGCAGUUGUUCGCGAAGUCACGCAAAACGAUGACUUUCGGUGUCUGUGCGGCGUCUGCAGUCCGGAGCAACCAGACGAAUACUUGUGCUGCACCUCAGUGAGCCAGGUUGCAGCUCUGUGUGACAGUGCUGGCGUGCAGUGCAUCACCGAGCACCGUCUGUUCCACGACUUCUGUCUGCGGAGGGAAAUGCUGGCGGUGAAUGCACGCCAGUACUGCCGCUACGACUAUCGGCUGCGGCUGUUGGAUCUGACAGACAACAGGUGUCUGAGGUUCACAGCCUACUCUAUAUUUGCCAGUUGGGUCUGGGGCUACCUCGGACCUAGAAAUAUGCGACAAAUUCCAGGCUGCGCUGUGCGAGCGAUUCGAAGAGAGCACCCGUCGCCUUCAUACCAAGGGUAUCUUUCUUAAGAAUGGUAUGUUUUCAGCAUACAUAUAUUAUAUGCAUCUGCUGGCUGAUUCCCUUUUCAUGGUUAUACCUUCAUAUUAACAAGGCUGUAUACUUCAGUGAACAUAAAAGGAGUAGGUAAGCUAGAGGGUGUCGACC